rnacentral:rRNA from 1 species
UGGCGAACGGGUGAGUAAAAAAUCGCUAACGUACCCCGGACUCUGGGAUAGCUGGCUGAAAGGCUAGGUAAUACCAGAUGACAUACCCCUUCCGCCUGGCGGGGGUCUCAAAGGUCCGCCGGUCUGGGAGCGGGCGAUUUCGUAUCAGCUAGUUGGUGGGGUAACGGCCCACCAAGGCGACGACGCGUAGCCGGACUGAGAGGUUGGCCGGCCACAUUGGGACUGAGACACUGCCCAG